GGCGCGGGGCCGACGGGGAGGAGCGGAGGGGGCGUUCCGGGGUGGGGGGGAUGUGGAGGCAGCGGGUGCGAACCCUGGCUGGGGUGCGGAGACCUCGGGCCGGAAUUCAGGGAGGGGAGAUCCCCGAGCCACCUCCACGGACCCCGCCCCGGGGCAGCUCACGUCGGUUCCGGGGCGGACUACCCCUCUCCAAACGGCGCGGCACUGCGGCUCUCGGGAGUCUGGAGAGGGGGGAGGGGUCUGAGGCCAUGGGUCCAGAAACCGUUACUGGGAAGGCAGCAUGUCUCCUAAAACAGUAUGUUUGAUGGUGCUGACUCCCAUUAAUAGAUGCUCUGAAACGACUGAGGAUACUUCUCUUAACCACCUGGGCACCUGGUCAGUUUCACCACCAUUCUGAGAAGAGCAGAGCCAUGAAGCCAGAAACAUACAAGGAUGCUGUGCUGGAGCUUGGCUUCAACUGGGUACUGACCUGAGCCCUGGUUGUUCUACUCAUAGAAUCCUCGGCUCUCUCUUUCUUCUACAGGAGUACUUGUCUGCACCUAUUCCCCUUAGAGGGUCCUUGAUCAGUCAAGAGGAGGAGGCAGCUCCAUGUUUACACCAGAUCACAAAUUCCAUGUCCCAUCUCCAGCCCUACCCCAACCCACCCCUUUUCCAGAUUUUAAAAGUUUCAGAAAAUGACCGUGACUCAGUCUGGAUCAAGAGCUGCUGACCAAUCGCCAAAUUUAAACUUCAACCGAAUGACAUGGUUGGUAUGGCCAACAGCAACUCCUCAAAGGAAGAGAAAUGCUGUGUCCAGGGAAAUGACUUCUUGACAGAUAAAAACAGAUACCAACCUUCUCCGCAUCUUGGAAUUUGACUUCUAGCCCAUUUGAUUUACAGUACUUGUCAGCGCCUUCCUCCUGUCCAACAGAACUCCCAAACUUAGCUGCUCCCAGCUAAGCCAACAAGAUGACACUGCACUCCAAAAGAUGCUGAAAGGCAAAAACCAAGAGUUAUAAACUGCAGCUAUAUACAAGGCUUCUUAAAUGCAGGGAGCUUUGAACAGAUGGACUACGUUAAUAUAAUUAAAAAGUAAUUUUUGAUGCUAUAAACAUGAGCUCAGUAUGCUGAUGGGUGGGGGGGUAAGUGGGUGGGGGAAUUGGAGGGCCCCACAAAUGACGGGCAUGACCAAAAAAGGAUUGAGUGCAAAUCACAAAACAUCAUAUUUUGGAAAAUUAACAAUUACCAAGGGACAGGUUUUUGUGUAAUGGAUUUUGAGAGAUGGAUGGGCCUGACCUCAAAAGAGCCAUAGCCCAAAUAAAAAAAAUAGGCACAUAGACAUACACAUUGGUAUGCAAAUUAAAAGUUAUGGUAGAUUAAAAGGACGAUGGAAGCAGAGAUAUAAACAAUUCUGCAUGAGAAAGAUGAUUAUCC